rnacentral:lncRNA from 1 species
CUGAGCCCAGUGGAUGAAUCAUCUCUUGUGCCACGGUGGCCCAAAUGUCAGUCAACCAGACAUGUCUUCUGAGAGGAAUAAAAAGAAAGCUAAUUUUGCAUGAGCAUGCAGGAAGUCUGCAGACAGACAUUCUACAUAGUCCCUUGGGGACUCAGUAGAAGUGGAAUCAAGACCAACCCAAGCCCAACAAGGCAGCUCCGCUGGUUAAUGCCUCCCAGAUCUGUCAUCUGUGAUAAAGAGCCUCGCUGUAGCUGAGGAGCUGGCCAAGAACCUUUCCCAGUUAGCCAAGUUCAGAUUCAAAGACAUUUUAGAGGUGGAACGGAUGGUCGGGAGACGCUCAUUCAGUGUAAAUGCUGAAGGAAAGGAAGAACCAAGGGGUGAAGAAGUCACAUGUGGUGAAUAUAUUAUCAUCAGAAUGCGGAGCAAUGAAAUGUAAACAGAUAGGAAUCGUCACUAAAGCUCCAACUGCAGCCUCCGGGUGCCAUAGCUUUUGCACCAUCCAUUUGCACCAUCUCUGCGUUGCUCUCAAUCACUGCCACGAGUCUGGUGAUGCGCUAAGCUCGGGGCAGGAUCUCAAGGGCUUUGAGGAUGUCUGCAUCAUCUGUAUUGACCUGCUCCCCAGAUUAAUACCGAAGCACUGCAAUUUCUUGAGGAUUAUCCACCUAGGAGGAAAUGAUACGCUGGCCCAUCCAUAGUAGUCAAGAAACAGUCUGAGAUCCAAAAAGUGGCUUAAAAGAGGGAAAAGUUAAUCAAAAUGUCUGUGAAGCUCUGGCUUCAGUCUCUCCAGCGAGGCUUUCUGAAGCACAGCUCUGAUAGAACUAAACCCAAUGAGACACCGCCUACAAGAGGAAUCCAGCGUGUGAACGAAGACUAAAAAGCAAAACAGCAGCGUCUGGAGUGGACAGCUUCUCUCACUCAGAGAACUGUAGCCUCAAAUUCCUGGCAGAGGUUUCUUGGAAGAGAAGAAUGAGAUUGGAUCUGAGAAAAUGUGGCUGGGAACCACCAUCUCAGAUGGUAGAAACCACUCAGAAGGAUCAACUGCUGCAGACGGGAAGAGGAGCAACCUCGUGAAUAAUUUCGUGACAGGAUAUUGCAGGAGGGACUUUGUCCAAAUGUGUGCAGGGUAGUUGGCUACAGCAACAAGGAUGACGAACACAGAUGAAUUGAUCAGGAUGUAACCAUUCAAAGUUGAGAGGAUUAGAGGACUUCUCCGAGGCGGCUCCAAUGGAUGCCAGCAGAGUUAAAGUGUCCAAUGGAGAGAAGAGAAGGCUUGGGAAAUCCAGAGUCCAUUCAUUCAUCGCCCUCCUCCUAGAACAACAAAAGCGAGCCCCAGUACUCAUCAGCAUGGACUCUGUGUGUAGUCAUCUCCCUUAGUUUCAGAGGUUCCUGCCUACAGCAAAACUUUAGAGGCUUAGAGUUUAACGGUCAUAGCUUAUUCACCUCCAACUGUGUCCUAGUUCAAGAGAAACACUUCACAUAUCUGUAGGGAGAAGAUAAUGAACCAAGGAUACAAGUUAAGCCUUAGCUAAGACCUGUUACUCAGGAAAAAGAGCUAAAACAAGCUGCUUAGAUCAGCACCAAUGUUAGGUAGAGAGAAAAAGAAACGCUGCAUAGAAAUCUUAAGGUUCACAUGUGCUCCAGGCUGGGUCAACAACUUCUAAUUUCCUUUGCCAACCAACCAUGUCUUUGACAGAAAUGAUCCUUCUACAUAGACCACAGAGGGAUCCAAUGGAGGUUUCUCUUCCUGAAUUUGGGGAUUCAGAAUCUGGACAAAUUCCUUUCCAUCAAAGUCCAGUACAAAAGUAGUACCAUGGCAGUCCCUGCAGGGACUUGCAUCACUUUCCCUAGAGAUAUCAAGAGAAUUUUUAGUGAUAAGAAUAUGGCACAAAAUGAGAAAUCCCAUUACUCUUAAGAGAAUCUCUUCCUUCUCAAAGGCACCUGAUUAAUACAUAUAGUACUAUCAGUAAGGCUGAGCAAAAGGAUACUGAUGUUCUGAGUGAUCUUAAAUCAUGUAAUAAUAACUUUAUUCGUAGUAUAGAACGGAAUAUUCCCUAUUAGUAAUCAGUUCCUUUGCCAGAUCCUCAUAGUAUCUUAGUCACUGUUUUAUUGUUAUGAAGAGAAACUUUGACCACAGCACCUCUUAGAAAAAAGGAAGCAUUUAAUCGGGACUUCCUUAUGGUUUCACAGUUUUACAUAAUUGUCAACAUGGCAGAGAACAUGGGGGCACGCAAACAGACAUGGUGCUGGAGAAGUAGCGGAGAAUAUACAGCAACAUAUAGAUACAAAAUAUAGAUACAUAUAGAUACAGAAUAUAGAUACAUAUAGCUACAUAUAGAUCUGCAGGCAGCAGGAAGAGACUGGGACAAGGCCAUACCUUCUAAGGCUUCUCAAGGAGUGUCACUUCCUGAUGACCAAGCAUUCAAGUGUAUGAGCUUAUGGGAGCCAUUCUUAUUCAAGCCACCACACAUAGCAAAGCUGAUAAUGUCAUUUUCUGAAUUAACCAGGCCAAGGCACACUUCUUAGCAACAUGGUUACCUGGUAACCAGAGAUUUUUCUCAUCCCAUGAGAGAUUUCAUUCAAGAACUGAUCUUCUAACAGUUUUGUCUCUCUUAAGAAUGCUACAGACAGGGUGGGGUGAGGCACAGUGCUGAAGCCCCUCAAGUUUCCCAGAGGGAUGAGUCCAUGAAAGACGAAAAUCAUGUGGUCACACUGAGCAUAGACUUCACAAGCAUCAUGCUAGGAUUCCAUUUUCUUUCUCAACACAAUGAUAAAUUCUUCUUCCAAUAAGCAGAAAAUCAUCCAAUGGGAAAAAAAAAUAAAACCAACUAACUUGCAGUCCUUUGGAACAGUUUCAUAGCUUACAGGAUGGCUUCAUAACCCUGGGGACACUCGUUUUGACAUGAAAACUUCCUUCAGAACAGGAAUUCUGAUCCAACAUGUGCUCAGACAUCAUUUCAGUCACUUGCAAAUGAACAAGAAAGCUCAUGUAAAUGAGGAGGCUCAACUCCCAGGCCUGGUGAGUGGGUAAGACAUUCCUCUGCUGGGUUUUGAAGGCUGUCUGAAACCAUCGGCUGACAUCCUUCUCUGUGUGCAUGUAUGCACUAUCUACGGGAAAUUCAGCUCCAACCGGUUGUCUCUACAGCUCCCUUAAUCUUCUCCUCCCUCCUCCUGGCAUUGGCAUGUGUCCCAGGACUGCAGCGAGGAGUGCUUACCAACAAAGGUGCUGGCAUCUGCAUUUGUUUCACAGCCACAAACCUAAUGGUUCCAUGAUUUUGGCGAGCAAAACUGUCAAAAUGCCUGAGCACAAGAGAUCACAAGAUGAGCCAAGGCAUAGUGUGCAUGCCUUCCUUCCCAGCACUCGGAAGGCAGAGGCAAGGGGAUCUCUGUGGGUUCAAGGCCAGCCUGAAUCACAAGGUGUACUGGGGAUUCUUUUUUAUUGUUUUCCUUUUGCUAUCUGGAAUAGUUUGAGAUUGUAUUUGAUCAGUGCAUUAAAGUAUCUAACUUUCUGUGAUCCCGUUGAGCAGAAUUCAU